rnacentral:rRNA from 1 species
UACAGAGGGUGCGAGCGUUGUCCGGAAUCACUGGGCGUAAAGGCGCGUAGGCGGCUCAGUAAGGUUGCGGUGAAAGCCCGGGGCUCAACCCCGGGUCGGCCGUGGCAACUGCUGGGCUGGAGCACUGUAGAGGCAGGUGGAAUUCCGGGGUGUAGCGGUGGAAUGCGUAGAGAUCCGGAAGAACACCGGUGGCGAAGGCGGUUCU